rnacentral:misc_RNA from 1 species
GAAUUAAAUGUCAUUAAUCUGUUGCUUCAGAAUAUUGAUGUUUGUUCAUUCAAAUAGCAUAGCAACAGAAUACAGGCCAUUACUAGAAUAGGAGGUUAGAGUUUUACAUUUACGAGUGAAAUUUUUUUCAGGAUCUUUGGGCAGUAGUUAGGAUAAGUUUGACAUUAGGAAAUGCCUGUGAUGUUAAAAUCUUGUGGAGUCAGCUGUCAGAGGGAUGUGGAGAUCUACAUAUUUUUAUUUGGCAUCAAGGGCUUUCUAUGUCUCUCAUGUAUCUCAGUUGGAGCUAUUUGCUUGCACAUUCAUUUUAAGUAUGUGCUUGCAUGUCUUCAUUUUUUGGAUACAAAUUGGUUAUUUAUUAUGUGUUUUCUAUCAUACUAUUUGCAUGAUUUGUUCACCACCUUGGGAGAUUUGGAUUGCAGUAGUGCUAUACAUAGUUUGGUAAGGAUUAUAAUGGUAAGUUGUGUGGUGCUUUGUGGAGUUAGAACUUUGAAGGGCUCAAUCUGUUUGCUAUUUCAGAAACUAUCUGAAAAAAGAGAUGAAAAGGGAGAGCAGAGACUGAGUACCAUCAUCGUCAAUGUUGCCUCGUGUCUUUACUUGAGGAUGGGCUAAUCUUUGUAUGGUGUAAUGUUGAAUGUCAGACAUUGAAAUUGAAUGAGGAGAGAUUAGAAUUUUUUGUUGGCGUUGCAUGUAUUUUUUUGGUGGGAAAUGGAUCAUUCUGGAUAAAUAUUCUGUGCAAUGCUGAAGUUGGUAUGAUGCUUCAGGAUCGUAUUUUAUAGUGAAUUAUAGGCCUAUUUGUGUUUCCUGUGGCUUGUCUGGUAUGUGAUCAAUUUCUAGCAAUGAUGAAUAUUU